ACAUGGAGAAGUUAUCCUCCGUUGUCCUUCUGCUCUGUGCAUGUUCAGAUCUGUGCAAAAGUUUCACAGAUCUAUGAUUUCCUUCCAGACUUUCUGGGAAAGUCAUAGAAGUGGGUUUAAGCUAUAAUUCCUCACACUUUCUGAAGAUGUUUCAGAGUGCUUCUUUUCUGUUUGGCUUCCAGCUGCUAACAAUGUUCAGAGGAAUAUUUUUUUUUAUCGAUUUGUAAAGCCAAAUAACUCAUUAGGCUCCCGAACAGAGGGGAAUAUGUGUUGGUUUUAUUUCUUUUUUGUUACUGUUCCAGGUAGAGUUUAUUUAUUUGAUCUCAACUUGUUCAGUUCCAUCAUUUUCAAACAUACACACACGCACACAUGACAACAUGCUGUCUUGAUUUAGGUCAAGAAUUAAGCAGAAAAUGAUUGAAAAGCUACCAAGGUCCAAGAAAAAAAAACUGAUCAAUAAUCUUAUGAAAACUAAGCAAAAUAAAAGUUAGAAGUUCACGCUGCUAAAGUUACAAUAGGAUGGUUUAGUUUAAAACAGAGAUAAAUAGAAUGGCCUAGUCAAAGUGCAGAUUACCCAUCUGUAACAAGACUCCGGAGGCCUCUUGAGCUACUUUGCAAAUGGGUCUGAUGUGGUGAAAAUCUUAGACAAACAGCUGAAAACCACAUGCAGCUGUAUUUAAAGCAACGGAGGUUAUAGGAGCACAGAUUCAGGCCACUGAAUAUAAAUUUAUAACACAUUUUACUUUUCUAUUUGGAACAAAAUCAUAUAUAUAAACAUUCUGCUUGACAUUCAUCGGGUUGGCCUUUGAUAUUAAUCUCCUUCCAGCUCAGACUCAGGUCUGAAAAUUAAAGAAAGUUGCAGGUUUGAUUCCAGGUUUCCUCCUCCUCAGCGCUGCAGAAAGAUGAAGAUGAGGUUUAAAAGUCUUAAAAACAUAUAAAGGUUUAGUCCAUUUACCAAUACUACAGGGAUGAAUACUUUUGAGAGGCUCUGUGUAAAAAUGUCUGUCCGCUAACGAACCACGUAAAGCUUUAAAAUUUGUUAAAUAUUACAGCUAAUUAAAUGUGGGGCUAAUGAAAAACAUAUUUUUUAUUAGACUCUGAGCAAUGAAUCUUCUCCUCUUCCUCCACCACUUCCUCUGAAAGCCAGCCUCAAACACAUUUAGCGGUCUGCAGAUCUGAAAGCGUUGCUCCGGAUGUGGGCAUCAGCUGACCUUUUUAUCUCUGGUUAUUGCCUCUCUCGAGAGCCGGAGCACCAAUAGAGCUACUUGGCAGCAGAUGUUUACUUUUAUUGUGGAAAUUUAUCACCUUACAGCCACAGUACUCUCUCUCUCUCUCUCUUUUCCACUCCACAUGCAGGAAGCCAGAGUCUUCUCCUGCUUCUUAUCUGCUGCCUACAAGAGCAAAUGUACAGCAGAGAGUGACAGCAUGCCGGGCUCCACUGCUGGUAAUACGCUCGCUUUAAUCAUCCUCGUGCAUGUACGACACGUUGGCUUUGAUGUUCCAUUAAAACGGACAAGUUGGUGAAGGUUGGAGCGGAUCUAAAUUUAUUCGGUCCAUAGGAGUCGCAUUCUGCUCGCCUCUUCACUUGCACUUGAGCGUAGAACGAGUGGCCAUUCAUCAAAUGAAGAAAGAGGCCGGGAAGAUGAAUUUAUCAGUGGAAGCUAAAAUUUUGCUAAGUGGACAACAACAUCUCCACAAAGAGCUGCAGCUGACCGCACUCAGGACUUCUCUUCCUGAAUGGCUCGCUCUGAGAGAAGUGGAUGCAGAGGCAGGCGGCUGAUGAAGGCGAACAGCAGGAGGAGGUGCAGGCCGAACCCGUACCUGGAGAGCAAACGAUGCAAACCAGAGGAGAGGCUGAUGAGUCAGAGCGAGGGGGAUGUGCUGUGCUGGGUUUCAGAGGCCCGAGUGAAAUUAGACUAUUACCAUUUCAUCGCUCCCGCAUUAAAGACUGAUUCAGACAUGCUAGCAUUUUGAUGAUGGGAGCAAAGCAACAAAAAAUAUCCAUGGAUGAUGGUUUGUGGAGCUUGUGAAAACCUCACAGUUCGGAUAAGAAUAACUCUCAGGGUGAUAAUAAGGGAUUGAGUUUUCACUUUUUGGUGAUGUAUACUAAUGGUGAAAAAAAGUAUGCUGCGGUGAAUUAGAUGUUAAGUUCACCUUCUGUCUUGAAAUACGGCCUAUAUAAAUAACUAGAUAUAUUUUCAUAAACCAGCCCCCAAUUACACAGGUUACAGUUAAGGUUUCAGUGAACAUCCCUUUAAAAUGCCAGAUUUGUGUGACACAAAACCUCACACCAUGAUACUGCCACUACCACACUUCACUAAAUAUGAUGCUAUUUUUUCAUGUCAAGUUUUUGUAAAUGUUUUCUUGAGAAGGAAGGUGUCAAACUUCUCAUUCCUGUCAUACGGGGAAUGCUGAAUAUCAUAUCUUCCUGCAGCCUCCUGUCAAAUACAAAAUGCUUUGGAUGUUUUUUUUUUGUAAUCUUCUCCUGACUGAUAUCUUUGCAGAAGGAAAAAAAUAUAUGCACAAAUGUGUAAUUGCCUAUUUUUAUUAGCUUGAAAUUCACAGUAGGAGGUUUGUAUGUUUGAUAUUUUCCUUUCUCUCAAGAAGCUAAUUUCUACCCAGCAUUUUUAGAAAGCAUCCAAAGCUUCAUUUGAAUCAGCUGAGAUCCAACUGGAUCAGCUGCCAGCAAAAUAAAAAUAAAUAAAUCUAAAACAAAACAAAAAAAAAGCCGGAGCCAUCCGAGUGUGGUGCCUUUUUGUUGUUUUUGACUGGGCAAAGCAACAAAUACAAGCUGAAAUUUAAUCAGCGGAGAGGCAGGAGCUCCAUCUCAGCUCGCCACAAAGUAAUACUUGUUUCAACAUCCAGUAAUUACAAUCUCAGAUAUCCUCUAAUCCCGUUAGCUGCAUGCUGCAGCGAAAGCCUCAAUCUGUUUGAUAGAAGCGAGUUUUAACCUGCCAGACCAAUCACUUGAAAAUCUGGACGUAUUAUUGUGACAAAAGCAACAAAAACUCAGCAGAGAGAAGCUGAGCUGUUUGCCGACACCAAUGCUCUGUCAUCUGUGAACAUGAAGCGUGUGAUUGGCUAAGAGUUAACCUGAUAUUGGGUGAAAUUGAAAAUACUAUUAUUGGUUUAUUAGCUCUUAGCUAUAGAUAAACCAAUAAUUUAAUAAGUAGAAGCAAACUAGCAUAAAAUCCUUAGCUUACCUUAUGUGUUAGCUCUUCAUUAUAGGGUGUCUGCAUGUCCUCCAUGUCAAUCACAGAUGAUCCAGACAGGUUGUCCAUUGUCUCCUGCGUCUCUGUCUCACACAAAUCAGAUCUCUGCCCAGAAGCAGGCGAACUCAACCCAGAGACCUUCCACUCCUCACUCCUUUGAAGUCGAGUUUACAGCCCGCUGUCCCCAACACCUGGCCCUCCUCCUCCGCAGGUCUCCAUUUUCUCCAUGAGGUUCACAUCCGGUGCACAGAGGGGAAAACUGCCUUGAACUGUGCACUUGAACCGGAAAACACUUCAAAUAUUUAUACGGGGAAGCUCAGAAGUGUUGCUUACAGUAUUUAUGAAGGAAGGAAGCUUCAGCACCCCGGAGGGUGUUUACAUCCUUUAUAUAAUCCAAAACUAUUCAUUCUUGACUUUUUCUCAUAUUUUGUCACAUUAAAUUGUGAUGUCUGUGGAUUGCAUCAAAAAUAGCUAGAGCACAACUGUGAAGAUGAAGCAAAAUCAUUCAUUCAUAGAUCGCCUGUGGUGACAGCGAGCAGAUCAUCACAAACACACCGUGAAAGGAAAGGCUGAAGGGACGUUUUCCUCUCAGCAGGGGCAGAGAUGGUGGAUGAAGCAACAGGCAGGGGAAUGCAGGACCUACAGCAACUCUACACACACACACAACCUGGUGAGAUAUAAAAGAAUAGUUCAGGUCAAAUAUUCAGGUGUUAGAUUGAUCACUUGGCUAGUCUGCGAAGAGGAACGGGCAAAAAUGACAGUCUCUAUAUGUGCAAAGCUGUUAAGUGUAAUUGUAGAACCAAGUUAAUUCUCAAAGUAUGCUCUCAGGGAGCUGAACUGAAAUGUACGCCACACUUUUCAGAAUAUUUAGUUAAACAAAACAUUUGAAAUUUACGAAUCAAGCUAGCAACGGUAUUUUAGCAUCUGGUCACCGGUAGCAUCAACUGCUUGAAGUCACAGAACGCAAUGAAGGCCAUAAGAAAAAAGACUAACAACUAAAGAAUCAUGAAACAACAUUUAAGACUUGUGAUUAACGCAUUUUAGGCCAGUAUAAAUACAUCUUUUUAAUGAAUAUAAGAUAUUUUAAGGCCUGAAUUUUAGAUGUAUACAUUUAAGACCUUUUAAGGGUGUGCGACACCAUGGCAGCAUUUUGUCUGUUGCAUAAAAUCCUAAUAAAAAUACAUUGCAUCUCACGUUUUAUCAUUUUAAAUUCAUUGAGGAUUCAGAAGGACUUAAUGUGCGCAAAAGUCUGCUCCUAGCAAGGACAACUCCCGUUCAAAGUGAGCUGUUUUAUAAACACUAGAUUAAAUCCAGACAUGCUUCAAGGUACAAACAAGUAUAACAACAAAAGCUGGAAUAUAGUCAUCUAUUUAUUGAGUUUUCAGUGAGACUGUCUGAUCUUCUCCACAGCAGCGACAGGCUCCUGUUCCCUACAGAUCGGAGCGACGGAGCCGAGGAUGAGUCACCGUCCGGGCUGCUCCCGACUAUCACAACAGCACGGACAGAAAUCUCAACCUCCCAAAACCCAGAGGAGCCGCUUCAUGCGACACCGAACAGGUGGACUGUCGAAUGCAACACAGUUAGAGAGCAGUUUUAACAGCUCAGGGAGCCAAGAGACGAACAGACAGCGUACAGCUUCCCUCCAACUGGAUAGAAAAAUAACAUUUGCUAAGAUCCAUUAAUCUGCUUAUUCUCUCAAUAAAACCGGGGCUUCACUGAAGCGACUGUACUGUGCAAGCUACACAAGGUCACUUAAAAACAACGUACGUGUUGGACGGUCAUUAUUUCAGAACACAAAAAAACAAAACAAACAAAAAACUAAAGUAAAAACACUCGUUUCUGCAAACUAUUCUGCAAACGUCAACCUUUUU